rnacentral:rRNA from 1 species
GACGAACGCUGGCGGCGUGCUUAACACAUGCAAGUCGAACGGAAAGGCCCUGCUUUUGUUGGGUGCUCGAUUGGCGAACGGGUGAGUAACACGUGAGUAACCUGCCCUUGACUUUGGGAUAACUUCAGGAAACUGGGGCUAAUACCGGAUAGGAGCUUCUGCUGCAUGGUGGGGGUUGGAAAGUUUCGGCGGUUGGGGAUGGACUCGCGGCUUAUCAGCUUGUUGGUGGGGUAGUGGCUUACCAAGGCUUUGACGGGUAGCCGGCCUGAGAGGGUGACCGGCGACAUUGGGACUGAGAUACGGCGCAGACUCCUACGGGAGGCAGCAGUGGGGAGUAUUGCACAAUGGGCGGAAGCCUGAUGCAGAAACGCCGCGUGCGGGAUGACGGCCUUCGGGUUGUAAACCGAUUUCGCCUGUGACGAAGAGUGAGUGACGGUAAUGGGUAAAGAAGCACCGGCUAACUACGUG